UUAAUACUUCCUCCGUCCCGAAUUACUUGUCGCAGAAAUGGAUAAAAAAAUGUAUCUAGAACUGAAAUACGUCUAGAUACAUUCAUUUCCGUGACAAGUAAUUCCGGACGAAGGGAAUAUGUU
rnacentral:pre_miRNA from 1 species